UUAAUUGGCCAUCUCUUAUAUAUUAUUUGAUCUUUUUCUAUUGUAGCUUUUAAUAUUCUUUCUUUGUUCUGUAUGUUUACUAUUUUGAUUGUAUAUAAUGGGGAUUUCCUCUGUGUUUAGGUUUUUUUUGUUUUGUUUUUUGUUUUGUGUGUGUGUGUGUGUGUGUGUGUGUGUGUGUGUGUGUGUGUGUGUUCUUUAUGCCUCCAUGCCUCCUGUACCUGAACAGGCAUUUCCUUCUUUAGGUUAGAAAAUUUUUCUGUGAUUUUGUUGAAAAUAUCUUGUGUGCCUUUGACCUGAGUUUCCUUUGCUUUUUCUUUUCCUAUUAUUCUUGGAUUAUGUCCUUUCAUAAUGUCUCAGAAUUCCUGGAAUUUUUCUCUAUCUUAUUGUCAAUACCUGAUUUUUUCUUUUAUUUCUUGUAUUCUGUUGGUAAGGCUUACUCUAAUGUUCCUGUUCUCUUUCAUAAAUUUCACAUUUCCAGAAUUCCUCAUUUGGGGUGUCUGUUCUGAUUAUAUUUACACUUUCAUGACUUGAUUUAAUUCUACCUCUUGUUUGAGUUUUGUAGAUUUUUAAUGGUUAAUGAUGUCCUCUUUAAGGUCCACGAUUGUAUUUAUAAUAUUUAUGAUACCUAUUCUCAAAUCCUUAUCUUGUGCUUCGGUCAAAUGACAUUUCUCAGGGACUAGUGUAGUAGUGUUGUAUGAUUAAGACUAGAUAAUUUGGGAACAUGUAUUAGAAUUCCGACUUUUCAGUUUGAAAACUCAUUGCAGUGAUAGUUAAGACAUUAUAAUACUAAGUAUUCAUUAGAAGGGAGUUGAGAGUUAACACAUAAAGCUAUUUAUCUAUGAUGAGCUGGGUUUCUUCUUUGUCUUUUCCUUUUUGAAGUUCUGGUAAUUAAAUCCAGGAUUUUCAUGUUAUGCUACAUACUCCUCAUAUGGCCAACUUAAUUUCUACAGGGAGACAGUGAUACUGUCCUUGAGUAACUAUACAUAUCCCAGGAAAAUACUGUAUACACAAGCACAUGCAGACACACUGUGGACUCAGCAGAAUUAAAUAUUUGGUCAAAGAAAUAGGAAAAGAAUUAAGGGAUGCCAAAAGAGAUGGAUUUUAUCAAAUGUGUUACAUGGGGAGCUGGAAGGUAUUGGUUGGUUUAAAUGAGAUAUUUCCUACAUGGGAUCAAGCAUUUAAAUACUUGAUCCCUAGCUGGUGGUGCAGUUUGAAAAGGUUAAGGGGAGUUGCACCUUGUGGGAGAAUGUGGUUUGGUUUCAAAAGUUUAAAGCCUCACACCACUCCAGUCUACUCUCUAUUUUAUAUUUGCAUCUGAUGAUAUGAGUUUUCUGCUUCUUCUACAGCUUCCACUACUACAUGCUGUUUAUGCUUCUACUAUGUGCUUUUAGCCCUAUGGCAACUUAAGCAAAUAUAGAGUCUUCUUAAGCUGCAGUCGGUCAUGAUGUUUUCAUAUCAACUGACAAAAAACAAAUAUAAUCAGUGAGCUAAUGCUGGAAAGAACGUGAUUUUGGAGAAAAAAGGAAGAAUGUUUUGUUGAAGAGCUUAAAAAGCUAUUCAGAAUGUUCCUUGAGCCUUUCAUGUAUGGAUUGUUGAUGAAUCGAUUGGAACUGGAUACCCAUGGUUGCUAGGAAUGAAACCUACAUAUGACCUGGACAGCAGGUCUCUGAAUAGAUCCAGAGAAGUAAGUAUUGCCUUCAUUUUUAACAUAGGCCUUCCAUGAAAAAGCAGCAUGUCCAAAAGGACAAUAUCCUCUGUGGGAGAUCAGAGCUCCAGCCUUGAGUGCAAUGAUUUUUAGCUAUGUAACCUUGAAAAGCAUUUUUGUCUUUGACCACAAUCUCUUUAUGUAUAUAUUGAGAAGUCUAGAUUAGAUCAUUUUCUUUGAGCAUACUCCAAGAUUCAGUAUUUUACUAUAAAUGAAUUAAAUCUAUAAAAACAGUCAAAACUUAUAAGAAUGCACAGUGAUAGGAGAGUUUAGGAAGAAGUCUACUGCAAAUAGCAUAUAGGCAUUCUCAUGAAAGAAGAGGCUGGUGCCAAUGGUUGGUUGGCUGGCGAUCUUGACUCUACAAGAUAAUCUCUAGUGUCUCACAAAAGGUGGGUUUGGAAAGACAGUUCAGCGGGUAAAAGUGCUUGUAGUGUAAACAUAGCAACCUGAGCUCAGAAUGGAUAUAAAAUGGAUAUACGUAAAGUAUGAACAUCUAAUCAUUUUGCUCUUUUCUUCUGAUAUGCAGUGUCCCUGUAAUUUCCUUUAUACAAGAGUCUUCCCAGUUCAAGAGCCUCCUUGCAUGCCAGCUUCAGUGGAUACCUUCAAACAGUGAAUUGCUUCUCAUGUUUCAGUUUCAGGGUAGCAUGGGUCCAGUUGUAACAGAAAAUCUACAGUAGUUUAAACAGGGAUAGAUUAAUGUAAAUACAUUCAGAUGUAUAAAUAUAUAUACAUAUAGAUACAUAUAGAUGUUGACAAAAGCACCUCUAUAAUAUAAGUAAACACUGUUUUCCUUAUGACUGGGGAUAUGAUACUUAGAGAACGAAAGACUUGGAAGUAGUCGAGUGGCCACUGGAGGAGUAUAGACCACAUACCAGACAACAGAGACAAUUACAGUAAGAUGGGAUUGCUAGGUAAACCACUGUUUAGCCUCUAGAGAUAAGGAGGAGAAUGUGAUGAGCAUUCAGUAGCGAGUGUGCAAUGUGUUGGGCAGCUAACAAUGAUGGAAGACUUUAAAGCCUGAAGGCCACGAGAAGUAGAAGGAAGAUUUUUUAGAGGAAUGUUUUCUGUCUCUGUAAACCUGGAAAAGACAUGUGUAUAUUCAGAUCAUGCAGCAGUGCUGAUCCACAGUGCUGAGGAAAGGCUAUUUCAAGGUCAAAGAGGAACAGAAGUCUGAACCUGCAAGCAGGAAAUACCUGAUGUGAUGUCAUAAUUAACCAACUCGCUCUGUCUUAUACCCCACCAGAGAUCAGAAGAUUCCUCUCCUUUCUGCAAGUUCUUAGAGCUACAACUGCCAGCAAACUUACCAGUACACUCACAAUGAAAUAUAAAGACAGCAAAGAAUCUUUGUUCCCCACAAAACCUACAUUGAAAUGGGUAGUCAGAAGUAAGUGAUAACACACAGAACUAACACACUGACUUUAUGUUCAACUUUGACUAUUUUUCAGGGCAUACACAUUAAUCUUCUUCCUAGUUUUUCAGUUUUUUUAAACUUGUAAUUUGUAUUUUAAUUUUUCUUUGUUACCUUUACUUCUGGGAUUCUCUCAUACAGAUUUCCAGAAAACUGCAUUGUUCACAGAAGUACAGGCAGAUGCUGAAAAUGGUUUUUGAAUGAAUAUUAAAUAUAUCUCUUAUAUUGACCACUGAACUGACAUGAAUAAGAAAUGUCCUUUGUCAACUCAACUAUUAGAACAAUCUGUGCUACUUGUAUAAUGUUUAAGUGUGUAUGUUUUCAGGUCUGACCAUUCAGUAGUAGAUAACCAACUGGUAACUUUUUACAAACUAAGGAAGUCUUUCACCCACUCUCAACAUUCCUUAGGUUAUGUUCUUUGUCUAGGGCAGUGAUUGAAAGGAAAAGUAUUGGUUCAGGACCCUAAAAAACCACAUUCUCAGCACAAAGAAGAUUCAUUUGCCCCAGAUGGACAGAGACAUGGAAUAAGAGACAAGUAUAAGAGAUAGAGGAUGAGGGAGAAGGGAAUAGGGAAAGGGAGCAGGGAUAUCUGUCCAGUAAGGAGUCUGCCUAAGGAUACAGAGGACAAAGGUGUGGCACAAAGGAAAACAGCAGGUUGUAAAAGUGCAAGGGGAAAUGCUACAUUAGGAUGAGAUGUUUAAUUAGGGCAUGUUAAACAUGAGCCAAAGGGCUUUUGAUUGCUGGACUUCAAUAUUUAGCCCACUGAGCCUUGGUAGCCAGCCUCAGGAGGAGAAAGUGGUCAAAUAAAGGAAUAGACAUUUCUGGCUAGCUUCGGAAAUGUAAUCUAAAGGCUUUCAGCCAGGCAGAAGGAAUGGGAGAGAGAGGCAAGGUUUGCUAGGGCCAUGCUUGCCACAUGGUGCUCGAACUGGCCAAAAUUGCUUCAACCUUCCUAAUGCCCUUCCAUGGUCCUUUGGUAUAGUCCCUUAUGUUCUGGCAACCCACAACCAUAAAAUUAGAUUCGUUGGUACUUAAUAACAGUAAUAUUGCCUUUUUUGGUAUGAAUUUGCUAUUGUUCUGAUGGUCUUAGGCAACCCCUGUAAAAGGGUUGUUUGACCCUUAAUCACUGGGUCUCAAGGCCUCCUGAGUUUUUUGUUUUCCGUGUUGGCAUGUGCUAUUCUUGUUCAGUUCAUAUCUAGGCAGCCAUGUUAGUGAGACUAGAAGCAAGGAUUUUUAAUAACCAGUGUGCUAGAGGGCAUUAAUGUGAUAUGUUGGCCAAGAGUCUGGUUGCUUUGAGCCCAAGUCUUACAGUCUUGCCUGAGGGCAAAUUAAAAUCAUGAACUAAUUACUUUAGAAGAGCAAAUUUCAAGCCUAAAUAACACUAAUUUCUAUGACAUGGUUAUUACUAAUUUUCUUUAUAAAAGUCUACAAUGAAAAGGACAAGUAGGUCAAAAAGACAUGUAAAAAUGAUGUUUUUGAGGGAAAAAUGGUACCAGGACGUUUAAUGUUAUAGAUAAGGCCUAUACUGAAAAAGAGGCAGCUGUUGCUAAGGUGGUUAACAUAGUUAAGAAGAGGCCUCCUGGUUUUCACUGAAACAAACAAGGCCCAACUACAUUUUCUACUAAUGAAAGAAGAAGACCUAAGGAACUGGCUAUUCCUACAAAGCAUUAUAUUUUUUAAAACAGCUGCUGCUAAUACAUUUGUUGUGUACCAGGGGCUGUCCAAAGCUGGAACCUGAACAUGAUGAACAUGGUGGUGCCAUCUAUAUGGUACAAACUUCAGAGGCCCAGAAACUUUAAGAGAGAGGAAGACAUAAACUGUUCUUUCUUAGUUUCAGAGAGCCAUAAGGCCCACUAAUGUAUGGCAAAGCAGUCUCUGUAUGAAGGUUCCAGCAAGGCAGAAAGCCACGAGAGACCAUUACAUGAAGCAGUGUCAACACUAGUAGAGACCUCAAAAUACUGUGAGUCCAGACCCAUGGGAUAUCUGUCAAGAAGAGCUGCAUACCGGGAGUGGAAGUACUCUAGAGAGAGAUGUGUGUUGCAGACAGAAAAGCUGGAAGGGUGGAACCAUCACUUAGAAACAGACUACCUGACAUUGGAUAUGGAGCUACAACACCUGAUGAUUUUCCUGCUGGGCUUCGGUCUUGCUUUGUCAACUAUUUCCUCACUGUAUCCUUGUUCCUCCUUUUGGCAUGGUACUGUAAAUUUUGGUAUUAUAUGAUGAAAAUAUUUUGAUUUUAUAGUGAGAGGAUUUAACCCACUACAUUUUAGAACAGGCAGCCAUUUUAGGCCUUAAAUUUCAGUUUCCAAAAGAAGUAGGAAAGGUUCCUUAGGAGAACCACAGACAAUGGGUCCUUAGUCAAUAGUGGCCCUGACAUUUGGCCUAGAGGGACGAGGAGCUGAAGCUGAGUCAGCUCCUGGGACAAUGUGGCCAAGAGUGAUAACAAUAUCAUUCCUGGAAUUCUUCAAGGUCUCAUCAAAUAUAAUAGAACUAAUAUAGCAACCAAUCAAAACAGCAAUAACAUCCCUGCUGCACUCUUGGCCAAUCAUAUUAGAGGUUACCUAACUUUUCUAGAAAAGUCCCCAACCCUAUGUGAAAGGAGUCUGAGGGUUUUUCUUGUCACCAUUUUGUAUGAAUGGCUGACCCCUGCAUACUGAUUACAUCUGCAUAAUAAGCACUUUUUGUUUUUGGAUAUUACUUGCAUCUUGGGUCUUCCUUCAGUGAUUCUAGGACCCUUAGAAUAAGACACUACAGUUAAGACAUCACCUUAAGUAUCAUAAGACUUUGGGCUUUUAAACAAUGCUAGGGCUAAGAAAGACUAUGGGGUCUUUUGAAAUUGGAUUGAAUGAAUUUUACACUUGAGUAUGGCCCUGAGCCUAUAAGGCCCAAGUAAUGAAAUGUGGUAGUUUUAAUGUGAAUUAUUCCUCCUUGGUCCAUGGUUCAUUGUGUUGUUUGAAAGGUUGUGAAAUCUCUACCAGGUACAGUGUCCCUAGAGAUAGCAUGUCAUUGGGGCUGGGCUUUGAAAGUUAAUAGCCUUGUCUCACUUCCAGCUUAUUUUCUGCUCUCUCCACGUCACUGGAGGAGUUAUCUUUUAGCUUCCUUUUCCUGUCAUGAUGUCUACUGCUUACUGUUGUUUCUCCUCACCGUAAUGGACUCUAAUCCAUCUGGAACCAGUAGGUUUAUUGGAAACUCUUUAUUCUGUAAGCAACUUUAGGUCAUUGUGUUUUGUCACAGAAAUAGAAAACUAACCAACAUAACCUUAAGGAACGUAUCUCACUUAGAGCAGGCUCUAAAUGUCUUAUAUCCAUCCCUGUUUGAUGGGAAGACAGAAUAGACAAAAAGAACCAAAAUGAAGCCCAGAGGCCUGUUUCAGCUUAGGUUUCUAGCAUACUUUCUAUUUGGAACCAAAGAAGACUAUACAGUUUUAGAUACUUCUUACUUCUCAAAAGAAAAUUAGUAGUUUGUUCAAAUAUUACCUUGAGUCUUAAUGACUUGAUGAUAACUGUUGACUUGGAAGUAUGUGGUAUGUGUGUGACCACCUGAGAGAGGAUUCUGAAACACUGCACAAAGGAAUGUGCAACUUCAUCAUCAUUAAUCAAAAGUGAUCAAAUCCUGUGCUCAACAGCAGUUGAUACGCACUCUUUUUUUUUUUUUAAUUAACUUGAGUAUUUCUUGUAUACAUUUCGAGUGUUAUUCCCUUUCCUGGUUUCCGGGCAAACAUCCCCCUCCCUCCUCCCCUUCUUUACAGGUGUUCCCCUCCCCAUCCUCCCCCCCAUUGCUGCCCU